rfam:Phaeodactylum tricornutum CCAP 1055/1 chromosome 13, whole genome shotgun sequence.
GCACUCUUAGUUUAGUGGUAAAAUAGUUGCCUUCCAAGCAAUUGUCCCGGGUUCGAUUCCCGGAGGGUGCA